rnacentral:rRNA from 1 species
UACCAGCACCCCGAGUGGUCUGGACGAUUAUUGGGCCUAAAGCCUCCGUAGCCGGUUUUACAAGUCCUCCGUUAAAUCCAGCUGCUUAACAGAUGGGCUGCGGAGGAUACUAUAAGACUAGGAGGCAGGAGAGGCAAGCGGUACUCAGUGGGUAGGGGUAAAAUCCGUUGAUCCAUUGAAGACCACCAGUGGCGAAGGCGGCUUGCCAGAACGCGCUCGACGGUGAGGGAUGAAAGCUGGGGGAGCAAACCGG